AGCGAACGCUGGCGGCAGGCUUAACACAUGCAAGUCGAGCGGGCGUAGCAAUACGUCAGCGGCAGACGGGUGAGUAACGCGUGGGAACAUACCUUUUGGUUCGGAACAACACAGGGAAACUUGUGCUAAUACCGGAUAAGCCCUUACGGGGAAAGAUUUAUCGCCGAAAGAUUGGCCCGCGUCUGAUUAGCUAGUUGGUGAGGUAAUGGCUCACCAAGGCGACGAUCAGUAGCUGGUCUGAGAGGAUGAUCAGCCACAUUGGGACUGAGACACGGCCCAAACUCCUACGGGAGGCAGCAGUGGGGAAUAUUGGACAAUGGGCGCAAGCCUGAUCCAGCCAUGCCGCGUGAGUGAUGAAGGCCCUAGGGUUGUAAAGCUCUUUUGUGCGGGAAGAUAAUGACGGUACCGCAAGAAUAAGCCCCGGCUAACUUCGUGCCAGCCGCCGCGGUAAU
rnacentral:rRNA from 1 species